GACGAACGCUGGCGGCGUGCCUAAUACAUGCAAGUAGAACGCAGAAGGAGGAGCUUGCUCUUCUGGAUGAGUUGCGAACGGGUGAGUAACGCGUAGGUAACCUGCCUGGUAGCGGGGGAUAACUAUUGGAAACGAUAGCUAAUACCGCAUAACAGUAGAUGUUGCAUGACAUUUACUUAAAAGGUGCAAUUGCAUCACUACCAGAUGGACCUGCGUUGUAUUAGCUAGUUGGUGGGGUAACGGCUCACCAAGGCGACGAUACAUAGCCGACCUGAGAGGGUGAUCGGCCACACUGGGACUGAGACACGGCCCAGACUCCUACGGGAGGCAGCAGUAGGGAAUCUUCGGCGAUGGACGGAAGUCUGACCGAGCAACGCCGCGUGAGUGAAGAAGGUUUUCGGAUCGUAAAGCUCUGUUGUAAGAGAAGAACGAGUGUGAGAGUGGAAAGUUCACACUGUGACGGUAUCUUACCAGAAAGGGACGGCUAACUACGUG
rnacentral:rRNA from 1 species